CCCACGGGUGGCAGCAGUGGGGAAUAUUGGACAAUGGGCGAAAGCCUGAUCCAGCCAUGCCGCGUGUGUGAAGAAGGCCUUCGGGUUGUAAAGCACUUUCAGUGGGGAAGAAAGCCUUGGGGCUAAUACCCUCGAGGAAGGACAUCACCCACAGAAGAAGCACCGGCUAACUCCGUGCCAGCAGCCGCGGUAAUACGGAGGGUGCGAGCGUUAAUCGGAAUUACUGGGCGUAAAGCGCGCGUAGGCGGUCUGAUAAGCCGGUUGUGAAAGCCCCGGGCUCAACCUGGGAACGGCAUCCGGAACGGUCAGGCUAGAGUGCAGGAGAGGAAGGUAGAAUUCCCGGUGUAGCGGUGAAAUGCGUAGAGAUCGGGAGGAAUACCAGUGGCGAAGGCGGCCUUCUGGACUGACACUGACGCUGAGGUGCGAAAGCGUGGGUAGCAAACAGGAUUAGAUACCCUUGUAGUC
rnacentral:rRNA from 1 species